AAUGAACGUUGGCGGCAUGGAUUAGGCAUGCAAGUCGAGCGAGAAGAGUUUUGAAGCUUGCUUUAGAACUCGGACAGCGGCGAAAGGGAGAGUAACGCGUAGUUAUGUGCCCUAGGGUCCGGAAUAGCCACGGGAAACUGUGGGUAAUGCCGGAGAAUAUCCCCGGAUCAAAGGUGUGAUUCCGCCCUAGGAGCAGACUGCGUCCUACUAGCUAGUUGGUGGGGUAAUGGUCUACCAAGGCAAUGAUGGGUAGCGGGUGUGAGAGCAUGACCCGUCUCACUGGGACUGAGACACUGCCCAGACACCUACGGGUGGCUGCAGUCGAGAAUCUUCGGCAAUGGGCGAAAGCCUGACCGAGCGAUGCCGCGUGCGGGAUGAAGGCCCUCGGGUUGUAAACCGCUGUCGUAGGGGAGGAAGGUUCCGUGAAGAGCGGAAUUUGACCUAUCCUAGGAGGAAGUACGGGCUAAGUUCGUGCCAGCAGCCGCCGUAAUAC
rnacentral:rRNA from 1 species